AGCAGAGAGAUGAUGCAAGCGUGAGAGCCUCGUAUUUGCAAGGAAACGUUCUUCGUUGAUCUUCUCUCGUCCUGUUUCCACUGUGAACAGUGUUAGGAAGUAGCUCAGCGACGGGAAAGCAGCCUGUGUUGUGUUUUGCGGGUAACUUCCACUGAAACUGCACCGAAAAUGUGGGGAAACGGGACGGAAGCGAAUGUUCGGGGUUAUAAAGGACUUCAGGAUUUGGGACGCGGGGUACCUGCGGUACCAAAACCACCCCCAACGCUGCGGGAGGGGCCGGGCUGUGAGGAGAGGGGCGUCCCGAGCCCCUCAGGGCAGCGAGGAGCCGAGGGCGGAUCGCUCUCCUCAGAGGCUGCAGUGCUGCGGGGCGGGGACGGCGGGGGCGGCCCCCCCCCGCCGGCGGCGCCGCCUCUCCGUGCUCUAAGCGGGAGCGCUGUCCGGGCAGCCAGCAGGUUUCCUACUCCGCCGUCUCCACCGGCGCGGCGUUCUGGCUGUCCCAUGUGUGCGGUUCUCUUCUACUGGAAGAACUACAAGGCGGCCAAGCCGUGCACGGAGGCCACAGGAGGAACGCGCAGCCCAGGUGAAGGAAGCUUAGCAUGAACCACAGAUGUUUACAGCUCGUCAUGCACCUAUCACUUUCCAGAUAGAUGGAGAAACAUAGAAGGAACAGAAAGAGAAAAAAGCUGCUUGAUAGUUGGCAUCUCAGUCGAAGUUCUUGUACAGUGCUGGACCCCUUUCUUCAUCACACAAUUAGUAAGUCCCCUCUGUUCCUGCAACAUCCCACACAUCUGGAAAAGCAUUUUUCUUUGGCUUGGCUACUCUAACUCUUCCUUUAAUCCUUUCAUUUAUAUGGCAUUUAACAAUUAUUACAACCAUGCCUUCAAGAACCUUUUCCUGAAGCAGAGAUAAAAGGGGACAGAGAAGGAAAUGAUUCCUUUUUUGCACAAUAUAGAGAUUUCUGGAGGGAAACGUGCCAGGAUACAUGCAGACUUCAAGAACAAGAUCUCGUUAAGGGGAUUUAGCAACAAAGAAUUAUGAAGAUGAUUGCAUAUAAACCUACAGUCAGUUUACAGUUCCCCCUUGGAAAUACAGAUGUGCUACUCCAAAGUGUGAUGAAGAAAAAAGCAGUGAAUAUCUCCCUUCUUUGAACUGUUGUGUGUUAAAGUCUGCAAGCAAAGCACUGUAUCCAUCUAAGAGCAAGAUGUCAAGUCUAAGCCAAGUCAUCUCAUCCAGCCAACUAUGGGUGCCAUUCUGCAGCUUGUUCAUCAUCAGCAAGGGCACCAAGGGGAACUGUGGAUUGAGCAACACUGAAAUGUUCGUCAUGUGCACAGGAUGUUGGCUUUAUUCUGGGGACUUUUUUGGAAAGGAGAGAAUAAAGAGAAUGAACAUGCUGCA
rnacentral:lncRNA from 1 species